GAUGAACGCUGGCGGCGUGCCUAAUACAUGCAAGUCGAGCGAACAGACGAUGAGCUUGCUCCUCUGACGUUAGCGGCGGACGUGUGAGUAACUCGUGGAUAACCUACCUAUAAUUCUGUUAUUACUUCGGGAAACCGUUGCUAAUACCGGAUAAUAUAUUGAUCCGCAUGGUUCCAUAGUGAUAUACGGUUUUUCUGUCACUUAUAGAUGUAUCCUCGCCGCAUUAGCUAGUUGGUAAGGUAACGGCUUUCCAAGGCAACGAUGCGUAGCCGACCUGAGAGGGUGAGCGGCGACACUGGAAGUGAGACACGGUCCAGAGUCCGACGGGAGGCAGCAGUAGGGAAUAUUAGGCAAUGGGCGAAAGCAUGACGGAGCAACGCGGCGUGAGAGAUGAAGGUCUUCGGAUCGUAAAACUCUGUUAUUAGGGAAGAAAAAAUGUGUAAGUAACUAUGCACGUAAUGACGGUAGCUAAUAAGAAAGCCACGGCUAACUACGUG
rnacentral:rRNA from 1 species